rnacentral:rRNA from 1 species
AUUUGACCUCAAAUCAGGUAGGAGUACCCGCUGAA